CGGGGAUGCGAGCGUUAUCCGGAUUUAUUGGGUUUAAAGGGUGCGUAGGCGGCCUGUUAAGUCAGCGGUGAAAUUCAGGGGCUCAACCUCUGCCGUGCCGUUGAUACUGGCAAGCUUGAAUGCGGAUGCCGUGGGAGGAAUGUGUGGUGUAGCGGUGAAAUGCAUAGAUAUCACACAGAACACCGAUUGCGAAGGCAUCUCACGAAUCCGCUAUUGACGCUGAGGCACGAAAGCGUGGGAUCAAACAGGAUU
rnacentral:rRNA from 1 species